AAGCUGCCAGAACAUCUGUUUUAGGCUUUAACUUACUGAAAGGAAAAGCACUUCAAUUCUUUUUAUGUCUUCAGACCUACCGAGACUAAACCUGAGCAGCUGUCCACUGUUUUUUUUUUUUACCACACCAUAAUGUUGCUGGUGUCUUUCAGACUCUCAGGGAUGCACAGUCUAUGAUGUUAUCAUCAACCAGGACUUCUUCCAGAGGUGUCAGAAGGAUCCUUUAUUCCAGCAUUUUGUUAUACUGGUGUCUUUGGAGGGACUGGAGAAUAAAUACAGUCUGGAACUAAAUAGAGACUGGAAAGUUCUCAAAAACAGGAAAUUCCUGGGCGAAGAGCAGGCCGGUGAUCCAAGAACUGCAGCCUAAGGAAAUCUCCACAGCAUGUGCUAAAAGACCAGAAUUCUCACUGUUUUUGGAGCCUCCUACUGGACACCCAGAGUACCUCAUUGCAGAGAUAAAGCUCCCUGGAGUGGUAAGAGGGAUGCCUUUGGUUCUUGUGGCUAAAAUUAGGAAUUACAGUCAAUGGCCCUGCUGUGAUGUAGUGAUCUUGCACAAGCCAGUUCCAAAGGUCAUAGGAGUUCAUCAUUCCAUAGCGAGAGAGGUUUUUUACAAGAGGAAAAUAGACACAGUUGCCACUGUUCCUCCUUAGGGCAUACAAUGAAAAGUUCACACAUUCCAGGCUUCUGGCAGCACGUUUAAUUUUGAACUUGUCGACAGGAGAUUUACAAAAGAAAAAACAAGUUUGGCUUCUUUGGAACAGUUUUCUUGAGGUUCAGGUUUGAAAAGUUGCAUGUAGGGAUGGAUACGUUUCACAUUUGAACCGAUAAGGUACUGGCACCCAGUAUUAUGUGGUAAUAAUAGUUACAUUCGUUUAAUAUUAAUAAAAUCUCAACAUUUUAUUAUUUAUUUAACGUAUUCAUAUCUCAAUAUAUAAAAUUUUAUGACUAUAUCAAAACAACAUCCAGCUGUUUGUUUGUAACGUCUCAGUUUCAAACAUUUCUUCUCCCAUGUUGCUGGCUGCAGACGAGUCGCUAACGGAUGCAGACAUGCUAAUGGUGCUGAAUGCAGCAGUUGUAGCCAUAGAUCUAAGGCUGAUGAAUAUUGAGAAAAAUCUUG